UCUUGAAUCGCUGGUUUGGGUUUGCGGUUCUUGAAUCGCUGGUUUGGUUUCUCACUCUUUAAUUUGUGAUUUAGUCGCGGGAUUGUUAAUUUUAAUUUUUUAAAAUUCAUCAGUAACAGUUGGGACGUCGACUCAACACCAGCAUCAGUGUCUGAAGUGGAUGAAAGCCGAACCUUUCAGUGGUUAAAGUUUGUUUGUUUGUUUACAGAGGAGCGAGCACAGAGGCCUCGGCUGCAGCUGAAGCCUCGGACCGUUCAAGCGCCGCUCAACCAGGUUGCCAACCCAAACUCUGCCAUCUUCGGAGGAGCCAAACCGAGGGAGGAGGCGACACCCCCAGAAAAACCCUAGGAGACUAAGGAGAGGAGAGGAGCACUGAUUCAUCUCAAUCAGCAGCCACAUCCUCCUCUUCCCCCCCCAUCCCCACCAGACGGCGGCGCUCUCAUCCCAGUGUCACAGCAGGACAGAAGAAGCUAAAGGUUUUUGUGCUGUUUUGUUUUGUCAGUGUGCAUCUUUGUAGAAGCCGACUGUACCAAUAAAGUUUUUUUUGUAAAGAUUGAAGUUUUGAAUGAACUGCAGAAGUCCCAAAUUAUUAUUAUUGUUCUGAUGAUCAAUGAAGUUUUUUAGUUAAAGCUGUCAUUUCAUCCUGUAACUCCUCUGUGGUGGACCUGGUCUGAGCGGAUCAGGAUCAGGUUCUGGAUCUGGAUCAGACCUGCGGUCGGUCUUCAGUCUGCGCGGCUUCGUUCUCUGGACGUUUCCUUUCUCCUGUAAUAAAGAUCAACGGCUGUUUUAACUUUACUUUGUUUUCCUACACUGUUUAUGGCAAUAAAACUCUCAUCAUCAUGA